UCUGCGGGCGGGAGGGCGCUGGCCAGGGGAGAGGGCGGCGCGCGCGGGGGCGCGGGAGCCGGGUCCAGCCCAGGGACCGGACGGCGCCCCCUCCCAGCGCCUGAACCCAGGCAACUUCCCGCCGCCCGAGACGGAGUUUCUCGGUAGCCCGCAGACACCAAGGAGGCUGUGUGGAGGUCAAACGGGGUAACCCCCCACUCCCACCCUGCCUUUAUCCAGUGGGAAUCAGGAGCCAGCAGGUCCGGACUCGCUGAGGGGGCUCCACGCGGGGCCUCCCACGCACAGGUCUCUGGACAUGCAGUAACCGGGAAAGCCCCCAGGGGGCGCUGAGCAAGCUGAGGAUGUGGAACCAACGACCCGGCGUAGGAGCGAGCCCUGGUCACUGCAGAGGUCCUGGCUCUGCCUCCCUGACUGGACCCCCAGCUGCCAGCCCAGCCGGAGCCACGAGGGGCGGAGCCUCCCCAGCCCCCGCCCAGCGGGGGAUGCCGCCUCCUUCGGAUCUUUUUGCGGUCUGGGCUUGCUGUUCCUCUCAGCAGUAGUCAGGAAGCCCUUACCCCAAAAAGUAUCUGCGGGAGGCCUCAUCUGCAGGGGAGACCCCAGAGGGCGCCAGGCAGUCACACACCAAACCCGGGAGCUGCGAGUGGAGCCGGGACCUCCAGCUAUUAUCUCGUGCAGCUGAGCGGGCUCAAGUCAGCACAGAGGCUCUCUGCGCCCCCAUUUUAUGCACACUUUAUUUUUGUAAGAUUUAUUUUAUUUAUCUGAAAAAAAAAAACAGAAUGACAGAGCAAGAAGGAGAUACCAAAAAGCGAUCUUCCAUCCACUGCUUCACUCCCCCAAAUGGCCACAAUCCUGGCCACAAGCCAGGAGCUUCUUCCAGGUCUCCCAUGUGGGUGCAGGGACCCAAACACUUGGGCCAUGUUCCUCUGCUUUCCCAGGACACAGCAGAGAGCUGGAUCGGAAGUGGAGCAGCCAGGACUCGAACCAGCGCCCAUGUGGGAUGCAGGCAUUGUAGGCAGCGGCUUAAUCCUCUGCCGCACUACAACACCAGACCCUAUUAUGCAUCUUUAUUUGUGGGCAGUGCCUAGUGGGAGACCCUUCAAGGCAAGCAGAAACCAGGGUUGCUCAGUUAUAGGCCAGGAAGACUGCUUGGUGGACAUCCGCAGCGUGGCCCUCCCCAAAUCCAGGCUGCACCUGGAGAUGACGUCCCUCUCAGCUGCUCCUGGGGGCCCGCCCAUCCCACAUCACCGGCACUCCUGGCAGGACUGUCACUCAAGAUGCCCCGCCCCCCACUCACCCGCGGCUGGACACAAGACGAAGCUCGGGCUGUGCAGAGGGAUACACGUUGGGGAACGGACUGAGGGGUGCUGGCUGAUGUGGGUUGAGAAGCUGUCACGUGAGCUGUGACACAUGUGUCAUGACAUCUGCCCUUCCCUGGGCCUUUGACUGUCCCUUCAUCCUGUGAGCCACCCGAAACCCUCCAAAUAAAAGCCUUGUU